rnacentral:rRNA from 1 species
GAAGGCUUUCACAUCAGACUUAAAAAAUUGUCUGUGCUCGCUGUUCGCCCAAUAAAUCCCGACAACGCUUGGCAACUACGUUUUACCGCGCCUCCUGGCACGUAAUUAUCCAUGGCUUUCUGGUUAAAUACCGUCAACCCUUGAACAGUUGCUCUCAAAGGUGUUCUUCUUUAACAACAAGUUUUACGAGCGCGAAACC